rnacentral:rRNA from 1 species
GAUGACGCCGCGGAGGUGGACGACGUCAUUGGCGUCUUUGCGGUAUGCGGCGGGGCCGUAAGGGUUGCCGAAGUCGACCCAUGAGUUGAGGAGGGUGGGGGCGACCCAUGCGCCGGGAGCAGGCGCCGGAGUUGGCGCGGCCGCUAUCCAAUCGGCGCCGUCCCAUUCGAGAUGGUCGGAGGGGUUGGCGCCGCCGGAGAGGUCGACGUCGGUGAGGUCGCCGAGCUCGUCGUGGUGGGGUUGGCCGGCGAGGUGGUCU